GAGUGUCCAAUGGAAAGAUCGAAUUCUGCAAGACUGAACAGAGUAGAAGCUGCAACCUCCAUCCACAUACAAAAGGAGCAGGUUCUUGGAUCACAAUGCCGCAUCCACCAUCUUGCAGAUUUUCACACAUACACAUACACACCUUCUGUGGAUACCUAGGACCCAUAUGCAUUAUUUUCAGAGAAAGAUACCUUCAAAGACUUUAAGCAGUUUUCAAUAAAUAAAAGGUAAUAAAAUUAUUCCCAACUAUCAAAUGAUCACACUAAGUAAAAUGAGGAAGAGGAAGAAGAAAAGGAAGAGGAUGGGGAAGAAGGAGAAGAAGCCUUCACUAACUAAUACAGGAGCCAGCAGCCUAUUACUGAAUCUGCUCACCCCUCAGAGUAACUAAAUGAGCUGCUGCCUUUUGGACUUAAUAUACAAUCAUCUUUAGAGGUAGCCUCAAGUAGAGUGUGUUGCGGCAGGACAAAUAUGGUGAUGAGGGUUUAGGGUUAUCCUAACUCUAACCUUUUUCUUAACUACAGAAUUUGUAGAAGCACAUCAUCAAAAUUUAAUGACAAAAUAAAUAUCCAACAUCAGUAAUAUCACUUUAAACAGCAAAGCAAACAAACCAGUGAUACCAGGACAUCAUUUUAAAGUAGACAAAUUGAUCCUGCCCAUUUAUCUAAAGUUAUUCAGCCUUAACCUUUGAAAACAAAGUUUUUAAAAAUAACUUGUGGUCAUCAAAAUAUUGUCUGCUUCUGGUUUAAACCCAUCAUUCAUCAGUCAAGUUUAAAAUAGCUAAUAAAUAAAGAAUGAUAAAGAAUAAAUUAAUGAACAAUAAAGAAUUAACAAUAAAGAAUUUUAACAAUAAAAUUUCAGAAUAGCCAUAUUACAAAUAAAGCUGUAUAAGCAGACAUUUCCUAAAUUGAGAAAAUUAUAAUUAGAGGGGUUUUUUUCAUGUUACAAAAUACAAUAUUACAUGUUACAAAAUACAAGGAAUGAAGGUAUCACUGGCUAAAAUAUUUCUGGUGUACAAUGAAGAUAUGAAGAAACAUAAUUGAGUCUACAUCCACAUUUUUCACUCCUGACUUUUCUACAUUCAUAAGAUUGUUAAUGUAAAUGUAGGCUAUUUUGCAAAUAAUCCAAUAAAUGGCAGGGAUUAAUGGGCCAUUUCUGACUCUAUCACUCCCAUUUCUGGGCUGGGAUCUGAGUGAAAACUGAGAUUAAAAUGAUUUGAUGUUUCUUUGAUAAUUUUAGCCUGUCAAGAAAUCAUAAUUUCCACUAGACAAGAAAACAAAAGAUGAAGCACCUUUAAAGACUAGAAUUUGCCAUUCUGUAACAGUAGUAGGCAAAAAUUAACACUAGAUCUUUUAAAGAGUUAUAAUCUAUGGAUUUGGGGCAUGGUAUUUUCUUGACACUAGUGGACAGCUG